UGGCGAACGGGUGAGUAAUGCGUGACCAACCUGCCCCAUGCUCCAGAAUAGCUCUUGGAAACGGGUGGUAAUGCUGGAUGCUCCAACUUGACGCAUGUCUUGUUGGGAAAGUGUUUAGUGGCAUGGGAUGGGGUCGCGUCCUAUCAGCUUGUAGGCGGGGUAAUGGCCCACCUAGGCUUCGACGGGUAGCCGGCCUUAGAGGGCGGACGGCCACAUUGGGACUGAGAUACGGCCCAGACUCCUACGGGAGGCAGCAGGU
rnacentral:rRNA from 1 species